rnacentral:rRNA from 1 species
GAUUAACGCUAGCGGCAGGCCUAAUACAUGCAAGUUGUACGGGAUUAUCGGUAGCAAUACUGAUAUGAGAGUAGCGCACGGGUGCGUAACACGUAUGCAACCUGCCUUUAACUGGGGAAUAGCUCACCGAAAGGUGAAUUAACACCGCAUAAAAUCACAGAAGGACAUCCUUCAAUGAUUAAAUCUCCGGAGGUUAAAGAUGGGCAUGCGUCCGAUUAGCAGUUGGCGGGGUAACAGCCCACCAAGGCAACGAUCGGUAGGGGUCUGAGAGGA